AUUGAACGCUGGCGGCAGGCCUAACACAUGCAAGUCGAGCGGAUGAAGGGAGCUUGCUCCUGGAUUCAGCGGCGGACGGGCGAGUAAUGCCUAGGAAUCUGCCUGGUAGUGGGGGAUAACGUCCGGAAACGGGCGCUAAUACCGCAUACGUCCUUAGGGAGAAAGUGGGGGAUCUUCGGACCUCACGCUAUCAGAUGAGCCUAGGUCGUAUUAGCUAGUUGGUGGGGUAAAGGCCUACCAAGGCGACGAUCCGUAACUGGUCUGAGAGGAUGAUCAGUCACACUGGAACUGAGACACGGUCCAGACUCCUACGGGAGGCAGCAGUAGGGAAUAUUGGACAAUGGGCGAAAGCCUGAUCCAGCCACGCCGCGUGUGUGAAGAAGGUCUUCGGAUUGUAAAACACUUUUAGUUGGGAGGAAGGGCAGUGAGUUAAUACCUUGCUGUUUUGACGUUACCUACAGAAUAAGCACCGGCUAACUUCGUG
rnacentral:rRNA from 1 species